UCAGAGUUUGAUUGGCUCAGGAUGAACGCUAGCUACAGUCUUAACACAUGCAAGUCGAGGGGCAGCGCGGCGGAAGCUUGCUUCCGCUGGCGGCGACCGGCGCACGGGUGCGUAACGCGUAUCCAACUUGCCCUUGUCCCGGGGAUAGCCUCGCGAAAGCGAGAAUAAUACCCGGUGUAGCCACGGUUCCGCAUGGAAUUGUGGCGAUAGG
rnacentral:rRNA from 1 species